UACACUCCUGCGGGAGGCAGCAGUGGGGAAUAUUGGACAAUGGGCGCAAGCCUGAUCCAGCCAUGCCGCGUGAGUGAUGAAGGCCCUAGGGUUGUAAAGCUCCUUCACCGGUGAAGAUAAUGACGGUAACCGGAGAAGAAGCCCCGACUAACUUCGUGCCAGCAGCCGCGGUAAUACGAAGGGGGCUAGCGUUGUUCGGAUUUACUGGGCGUAAAGCGCACGUAGGCGGACUAUUAAGUCAGGGGUGAAAUCCCGGGGCUCAACCCCGGAACUGCCUUUGAUACUGGUAGUCUUGAGUUCGAGAGAGGUGAGUGGAAUUCCGAGUGUAGAGGUGAAAUUCGUAGAUAUUCGGAGGAACACCAGUGGCGAAGGCGGCUCACUGGCUCGAUACUGACGCUGAGGUGCGAAAGCGUGGGGAGCAAACAGGAUUAGAUACCCCAGUAGUCCCAUG
rnacentral:rRNA from 1 species